rnacentral:rRNA from 1 species
UUAGAUACCCUGGUAGUCCACGCCGUAAACGAUGAUANUAGGGUCGGGGGACCAAGGUUCUCCGGUGCCGGCGCAAACGCAUUAAGUAAUCCACCUGGGGAGUACGUUCGCAAGAAUGAAACUCAAAGGAAUUGACGNNGGACCCGCACAAGCGGUGGGAGCAUGUGGUUUAAUUCGAAGCAACGCGAAGAACCUUACCUGGUCUUGACAUCCCGGUGACGCAUGGGCAAUGCCAUGUUUCCCUCGGGACACCGGNAGACAGGUGGUGCAUGGUUGUCGUCAGCUCGUGUCGUGAGAUGUUGGGUUAAGUCCCGCAACGAGCGCAACCCCUAUUUCCAGUAACCAGCAUUUCGGAUGGGGACUCUGGAGAGACUGCCCGGGAGAACCGGGAGGAAGGCGGGGAUGACGUCAAAUCAUCAUGCCCCUUAUGGCCAGGGCGACACACGUGCUACAAUGGCGUAAACAAAGGGAGGCGAAGUGGCGACACGGAGCAAAUCCCAGAAAUAACGUCCCAGUUCGGAUUGUAGUCUGCAACCCGACUACAUGAAGCUGGAAUCGCUAGUAAUCGCGAAUCAGAAUGUCGCGGUGAAUACGUUCCCGGGUCUUGUACACACCGCCCGUCACACCAUGGGAGUCGGAAAUGCCCGAAGUCAGUGACCCAACCGCAAGGAGGGAGCUGCCGAAGGUGGAGCCGGUAACUGGGGUGAAGUCGUAACAAGG